rnacentral:rRNA from 1 species
UACGAAGGGAGCUAGCGUUGUUCGGAAUCACUGGGCGUAAAGCGCACGUAGGCGGAUGUGUCAGUCAGGGGUGAAAUCCCGGAGCUCGAACUUCGGAACUGCCCUUGAUACAGCGACGUCUUGAGUCCGGAAGAGGUGGGGUGGAAUCCUAGUGUAGAGGUGAAAUUCGUAGGAUCAUUGAGGAAGAACACCGGUGGCGAAG